rnacentral:lncRNA from 1 species
CUAGUUAAUUGUAUUUCUUAAUACGUUUGUUUCAUGAUAACAAAAAUAUUGAAGUGGAAUUUGUCUCAGGGGUUAUAUCUUUUUGCUUAGCAAUUUAUGAUUUUAAAUUUGAUUCUCGGAUCAUGCACCUCCAAAGACAGGAUGCAACCAAGUAAAUUGAGGUGAGCGUUCCUCCCUCUCUCUCUCUUUAAACUUUUUUUUUUUGAAGAAACCCUUCUCUCUUGAACUAAUGACUAUUAUUAGUCCUGUUGAGCUUUGAUUCAGUGCACUCCUAUGAAAGUUCUAUGAAGUCCUACAAUGAAAAAAGAAAAAAAGAUGAUAACAACAAAACAAAGUUAGUACUUGAUAACGGCACUAUUCGCCUAAUGAACAUUUUUCAUAUUGAUAGAGAUUGAAAUUUUAAGUUACAAAAAGGAAAGUGUCGAAUAAUUAGUAAAUGUUACAAUAAGAUAAUUAGAUAACAACAGCGGUUGGUUGAAUUCUCCAUCUACAUGCGCAUCACAUAAAGCGAAACCUUCCAAAAAGACAAACAGCCAUCAUUUAGACUGAGUGUGAUGGUGUUCACGGGUGCCAGCUAGUUUUUAGGUCCGGUCCCUUGGUGGUUACAAUGUAGACGUGGUCCAAACUCUAUCACUGCUAAGCUAUAAAAACCUAGCAAUUCUGGAGUCAUAUAAUCAGAAAUUUCCACGAACCUUGUCUAUAUAUAUCUUAGUAGUCGCAAUUAUUUUUUUUUUAAAAAAAAGGAAAAAAAGCUGUGACACUGCCCACCCAAUCAUUGGGCCAGAGGUUGUUGUCCGAGUUGCCCCACGUGGACUGUCCACUGCCCUGAGACAAAAAAAGCUCCAGCCCAGCUGAUGGCCUCUUCCCUAAACGUAGGCGAGAACGAAUAGGCCGGAGGGCUUGGUGGGAGGACCAAGGGGAGUGGGGUGCAAUAUAAUUAUGAGGCACCUUGUCGUCAUGGCAAAGCUCCUGGCAACCACGUCGGUUGGGCGGUUCCUUUUCUAAUCCGUUGAAAAGAAGAACAGACCCCACCUUGGAUUGACUUGAGUUGAGGUUGAUAAAGAAGGGUGCUUGACUUUCUUGGGAGGCUGCCAUAUGGGGCAGAUCAUGAUUCUGCGUGCCCAUGAGACGAUGAAAAAAUAAUGGCCCUUUCAAGUUUGCUGAGCUCAAUAUCACACCUCUCUAGUUCAUUUUAUAACUAUAGAGAAGACCUGAUCUUAGAGAAUGUGCCAAUAAAUCAUUACAUGUUAGAUUGCAAGAGAAUCUGUUCCACUCUCAAAAAUAUUCCAUGCGCUGAUGAACUUGAUGUUUAGGUAAUCAAAUUAUAGUGUUUUUUUUACCCUGUAAUGUGAGUCAACAAGGGUUUUUUUUGCUUCUUGUUUUUGAUAAAAGAAGAGUCAGCCCAAUUAUAAUCCACAAAAGCAAGGACCGACAGCAUCAACCAACACAAGAUUAUUCAAAAAUAAAGGAAGACUAUGAGAGAAGAAUAUCCAUAUAAGCAUAUAUUUAAUCUUAUAUCAGCUGUGUAUUAUGUAAAUUUUAGAUACUUAUACAUGAUUAAGAAAUCAAAUAACAUCUUCCAAAUAGCUUUCUUUAUAUCUGGAUUGUUGUAAAUGAUAUCAAAGUGGAUUCAAUCCAUGAUUCACAUAAAAUAGAGGACAUUGGAUCACGAGCUUUUUUGGAUUAACUAUGAGUUGAUUAUAGUGUUUGUGGCUCAGUUUAAAUGAAUUUAGAAUCUUAACUCGGUAUCAUAUCAGAAUCUGUACAAGUAUAUAUUUAGUCCUAUAUUGACUAUGUAUUAAAUAGAUCUUAGAUAUUUAUAUAAGACCAAAAAAUCUAAAUGACAUCUUCUAAAUAGUCUUUUUGGAUAAGAUCCUCGAUUGUUACAAGAAGAUAUCAGUCCUUAUUUCCAGAAGGCAAUGAUAUAUAAUGAGAAGUGGGUUAAUUAUUCAAUCAUGCAAUCACAAUACUUGAGUCACCUUCGGUGUAUAAUUUGGAAGCAGUAAUCAUAGUAACAUAAAUAGAUGAACCUUGCCAUUAAAAUCCAACCAUGGUAAUCUCUAAUUAUGAAACUUGCCCUAGCACUCAACCAAUGAAUCGAACUACAGAUGAGGAGGUGCCAAUAUACAAAGAUGCCGUUAAUCAGCAUGGUUGAAUCCUUAAGUCUCAAAUUUCUAAUAUUUAGAAGGAAAAGUUUAGUAUAUAAUUAAGCACAUGGUGAAGUUCUUUUUAUUCUUGUGCAGCACGGACAGUGUUUUCAUUACCUUGUAAUGAUUUUAUUGGGUUUUGUUUUGAUGUCGAAUGGAGGAAGUGAGAAAAUUCCCCCUAGCUAAUUUAUUAUUGAGGAACAAUGUACAAAUUAUAUUCAAGGAGAGCUGUAAUAAGUAUGAAUUGAACUAGUGAACUCUAGAAGGAAUCAAAGAUGUGAUGGGGAUCCAAUCCUCCUAUGACCAUCAAUCAUCUUGUCAUUACAAAGAUUUUUCCUAAUGAUGAAAAGUUAGCAACACCCUUCAAAAAACUGUGGAGAAGGGAAUUUUUCUUCUUAGGAAGAUUCUUGUGCUCCAUUCGUGUCAAAAUUUUCAAUUUAUAGCAAUCAAUAAUUGGUCCCAUGCUCUUCAAAUGGGCGGUUGGAUUUUUUUUUCCUUCUCUGAGAAGUCAAAAAUGGGUAUAGGUUGGGUGGCCAUCUUUUCAAGUUAAGAGUUGUCGCAAUAGCAGACCAAAUGCAUUUUGUGAAAGGGCAUUUAAAAAAAAAAAAGUGCAACCCCACUCCGUUUUGGACUUGCCUAAGGAGCAACUUUGAUUAUAAAAGAGAAGGCCAAUAAAUAAAAGGUAAAAGGGCCUGCUCUCGAACGUGCUUUAAGAUUUAUGUUGUCUUCUUUUUGGUAUGAUCAUCGGCGAUCCAGGUUGCUACCAGAGCCGUUGAGGUGGUGGAAGAUGGCAAAGGAGACAAGGGACCGUUGAGGGGUGGUGACAGGCCGAAGACGAGCCGGAAAAGAGCUAUACAGGGACGCACAGUGUGGUUUUCAUUAGAGCCAUCACCGGAGGAAGUGAAGGAGCUUAUCUGGUGAUUUUCGAAGGUUGUGGAAGUCCCGGAGGCGGCCCUCCGGGAGCAUUUGGUGUGGUGGGAGGUGAUUGUGGUAGUUGGCAGGAGUCUUGGACGACGGGUGUCGCCGGAACUGGUGGCCAGGGAGUUCCAGCUCCGAGGAGUACUUAAAGACGAUGUCAAGGCAUAUGGACUAGAGAAGGGACUGCUCCUCUUCCAGUUCAAGAAGGCAAUGGAGUGAGACCAGGUGCUCCGAUGGCCGUGGAUGGUGGCAGGGCAAGCCCUUGCCCUCGAGCCAUGGAGGUUGGGUUUCUUUUCGAUGGAAGGGGUAAUUUCAUCGGUGUUGGUGUGGGUGCAUCUCCCUCAACUUUCAGUGGAGUACUGGGAUGUGGAAGCCAUCCGAAAGGUGUUGUGGCUUACCGACGAGCUGAUUUUUCUCGAUGAGUGCACGAUGGGCCUGCGGUGGAUGGGGUUUGCCUGUGCAUGUCUUAAAAUCGAUCUCGAUCGGCCAUUACAACCAGAGAUUCUGGUUAUGGGACUGGCUGGCACCUUCUGGCAGUGGUUUGUCUUUGAGUGUCUGAACAAAAUUUAUCUUCAUUUUGGAUACUUCCACUUGCCAGAGGAGAAUUGCCGAUCGAGAGAUGGCGCUACAGCAAUGGGGCUAGCUCCAGACUGUUGGAUGUAUACCCUAGAAGUCAAUCUUGACUGACAUAUUUCAUAUCUCUAGGAUAUGAUUUUAUACUUAUUGGACAGUAAUAUUACCAUUCAUGUUUAUAUGUUUAUGAAUCAUUCAAGAGAUUAAUAAGAUGAUGACAUAUGUUCUCAAAGAGUUGAAAAUUUGAGGAAUGCAUCAUUGAUGGUUGAUUUCUAAAUUACUCAUGGUCAUAGGAUCAUCAUGGGGAUGAUGAUUAAUCCGGAUAAACCAGUACAUGGAUUACUUCCUUCAGAUAGAUGGAUCUCGAGUCUGUAGUGUAGAGACACUGGAGUGAGAGUGCAGGUGGUUGUUAGAGAAUAACUAGUACUGAGUGUGAUCAAUACGAGAAGUCACAUGGAUGUCUACUCACUUGUUAGUGACUUUCUCGAUGCUGUAGUUGUAUGACUGAUCUUUUGAUCUGAGAUGACACUACUACUCACAAUGAGGCUGCUGGAGUUUGACUGACACAUCAACAUGGAUCUCAAUGAGCUCUUGUAGUAGAUGUUGGCGAUAGUUGAUCCAUUGUAGGAGUGAGGUGUACAUCAAAAUGGGAUCUAUCGAUCCUAGCAGAAGAGAAUAGUCCUAUAUAAUUUAAAAGGUUGAGUCCUUAAGUCUAUGGCCAUAGCAAUAUGAUUGAUGGAAAAGAGUUUUCAUAGAAUCAUAUAUGGACUCAGGCUGAUUGAAUUUAUCAUAUGGCCGAUAUUGAAGUUUGACGAUUCAUCCAUGACCUACCAUCUGGUCGGGACUCACGAUAUGAGAGACUGUAUCAUGCAUUAACUAUACCUAGAGGUUCAUCUUUUAUUUUGCUGGGUUGCCACUACAUACUGCUUGGUGUCACUGGUGGAUUGUGAGACUCAUGAGGAUCAUCUUGAUGAUCAAUGAUUCUUGAUGGAUAGAGUUAAAAUUAUUCCAACCCAUUGAAAAGAGUUUCAAUGAUAUUGUGAUAGGGAUGAUAAUAUAUCUCACUACCAGAUAGAAUAGAACCUUAUGGGNNNNNNNNNNNNNNNNNNNNAAGAAAAUUAAUUAGCAAUAGGAUUGUUAAUUGGCUCAAUUUGAUUGAGCAAUGGGGCUUGCAUCAAGUCUAAUUUGAUUAAAUUUAAUUUGACUCAUUAUGGAUUUAAUUUGAUCAACCCCAACAGGAUUAUAAGAUAACCCCAAAAGGAUCGGAUGAUUAGCCCUAGUUGAAUUAAGAUUUGAGUUUGAUCCAAUUUUUAAUUAGACUAGGAUAUAUGUAUUCUUAAUUAGACUAGAAAUCUUCAUUUUCAUAGAUGCACCAAAUUCUAAUUGGAUUAUGAUUAAAAAUUGAGUUUGACUCAAGCACAAAGAAAGAGUCCAAUAGGACUAGGACUCCUCCUUCAAUUAGGAGACAUCUAAUCUAAAUUAAUUAGACUCCAAAUCAGAUUUAGAUUUCUAUUUAUUUGAGUCUAAUCUAGUCCUAAUAUGAUUAGGAUUAAUUGAUGUUUUAAUUGGGUUUAAAAUAGCCAUGUAAUGAAGAGUCCCAUGUUCUUAAAACUCUUCUCUCGAUGUCUUAAAAGAGCCCCACGCCACAUUGAUUUUGUGCGCACACCCAUGCCAAAUUUUGAUGCCAUCUUUGCUCCCUAAUUAGCAUGUAAGAAGGACUCCUAAUUCCCUUAGUUCACGUGUACUAGCUGGAUGAAUUCCUUGGAUUGGGUGUCGUUGAAAAAUUGGAAGAGUCCAUGAAUGUUUGGACUCUUUAUUCCUAUCCAUGUUAGGACUCCAUGUUAGCCUAUAAAUACCCACCUUAUGGGAUGGUGAAAGGAGGGAUUUAGAUCAGGUUGGGAUGUCCAAAAGAGGAGGAUUUGGCAUGGAGAAAAAUAAGGAGAAAGGGGCGGUGAAGAGGUCCUUGGCGUGAGGUAUUUCUCUCUUCCUGUCUCUUCUUUCUUACACAACUAAUAGUUAGUUGUUAGGACAUCUUCUUCUCUCCUUCUUGUCUAUAUUUAGACAUGGAUGUCUUCUCUUCUUCUUAUUCAAAAGUUGGAUAAAAUUUUUAUAUAUCUAUUGUAGAGAUUUGGUGCAUGAAUUUUAAGAAAAAAAAAGAAGAAAUGAUUCUUCUCGUGAUCUCUAGCGUAGAGAUCAAGAUCCUCCUACAUCUUCUUGUUCUCUAAGAGUGUUUUAAGAGAAAAGAAGAUUUUCAACCAUUAAGAUGCGAUCUCUGUAAGAAAGCUAGUAUCCCAAUAAGAUCAAAAGACUUCUGAUCAGAUCAAAAUCUCGUAUGGAUAUCCGUAGAGAUCAAACACUUGUACGGCUAAAAGAAAUCUUUGGAAGACAUCCAUGAUCAUCUAUUCGCGUUAAAAAUUGAUCCAUAUCCAGGUAUGUUUUAAAUUUAUUUUUUUCUAUUUGAUUUCUGUAUCUGAAUCUUAUCUCACAUAUGAUGAUCCUGUUAUGGUUUGAAGAUUUGAUCUUAUGCAUGCUUAAAUUAAAUUAAAUUUAAUCUGAAAAAUUUUUAAAUUUCACUAUAUAUUAGUUUUGUAAAAUUAUGCGUACAUAAAAUCAUAAAACUUCAAUAGUGGUAUCAGAGCCACAUCAUAUAUAUGAGAUAAAGAUUUGGAUUCAACACAUGUAGAGAAAAAUUUCAGAUCUAAAAAUUUUUGAUGUCGUUCUGGCACAAAGUUGCCCUGGCAUAACUUGUUAUGCUGAAUGAUUAUCCUAGAAUGAUAUUAAAAUUUUUAAUUAGAUUAAAUUUUUAGAUAUAAUUUUUUCAGUAUAUAUGUGAUAUAUGUUUUAUUAUUUAAAUUUAAAAAAGCUUCGAGAUCUGUUUUAAUUCAUAUAUAUGAUAUAUAAAAGCAUGUUUAGGGCUAAAAUUUAUUUCUAUGACCUAAACUUAUUUAUGUAUGUGAUACAUAUUUGUAUGCAUGAUCUAAAAUUAUUUUGAGAUCAAAAUUUAUUCUUCAUAUAAAGAAUUUAGAUUUAAAAAUUUUUGAUUUAAAAUCUAAAAUUAGUGUUUGUGCAUAAGGGAUUGGUCAUGGGUAGAUCAAAUUAGGUCCUGUAAUUAGAUUACAUGUAAAAGUUUCUGAUUUGAUCAUGAUGGGUCUAAAUUGAUUUAGCAGUUGAUCAAACCGAGUCAAGUAUUGAUUNNNNNNNNNNNNNNNNNNNNAACCUAAGGACUUAAUUUGACCCUAUAGCUCGAGUCUAAUUUACCUAAGCUAACAUAUUCGGAUCAAUUGUCUAAUUGGUGUCUAAGGCAAGUAAUUGAAAGAUAGUUAUUUAAUUGGUUUUGUUCGCUUAUCUGGUCAAUUUAUUGAUUUCUAAGAAAAGCAACAGGGGGAUCCCCACCAAUCUCCACUUACUUGACCAAUUUGGAAGAUUGAGUCUUAAAUAUGGUUGCUUGAUGGUUUGAUUUAGCCCAUGCCAAUUACAUCAGUCAUGCGAUGACUGAUUAGAUGAGACUUAAAGCUAAAUCUUUUCAUAAAUAUUAAGUCCAAAGUCUUCCACUAUUGUAGAUGUACGGACAUGCUAUCGGCGUUGAUUGUUCUCGGCUGGUCACAGUGGUUCAGUUGCAUUGAGAACAUAUAACCACUCUAUUAGCAAAGAAUUACUGCGGGAUAAAGAUGAGGUUGGACCCAAUAACUGUUAGGUGAUGGAUCCAAUGAUGAUUUUGCACCUGCUUGUGAACGGUGGGUCUGAUUUAACUGAGAAGUGUGGAUAAUAACUGUUAGGUGAGCCCACAUAUCUUAGAGACCAAGUGGCUACAACAUAUUUAGAGAAGCAUCUAGGCAAAAAGUUGUCCACGCAUCGGUGUUCAUUCAUAUUAUCAAUAACUGUUACGUGAGGUGCACGGCAUCGAUGGGACCACAACACCCACUAGAAAUCCAAUUAUCGCAUCAAGAUUUUUAUUUUUCUAUCCGAAGAGUGUGGGAGAUCUGAUAAAAUAGUGAGUCUCUUUUUGCAUCUAAAAAUUUUUAAAGUAAAUUAUAAAAUAAGUACAAACAUUCAAUUAGAAUUUUUGCUCUCUACUAUUCAUUGUGUCAGCUUCCAACCCUCUAGCUUGAAUCUUAGAUAUUAACCGAUUAACUGAAAUCGAUUACAUAGACUGGCUCACAAACUUAAAAAUUAUUUUUAAUUUUAAAAAAUUAAGCUACGUUCUCUAUCAAGUUAUUCUAAUAUUAACAACUUGUCCAACACAUAGUCAACGAGCUAUACUUGAUGAGUAGAUAGACAAUGACAAUAAAGAUAGGUGCUAUGCAUGAGCACAUGCUCACUGUCUACAACAUGUUGAUUCAUCUGUAAAUAUUGUAAGUUGAUCAGAGUACACAGUGCAUAUGAUGUGUGAUGGAUAGUUAGUCUAUGAUCGUUAUUUAAUAAUGAUCAAAAAAAUUAAGGAGCUUGAAAGGCUCGACAUAAUCAUGCACAAUGAAUUUCUUAUGAAUUUGAUCUUACGAUCUUUGAUUAAUUUAUAUGGAUAGUUUAUAGUAAAUUACUAUACAAAAGGCCAUCAUGGCACUUUAUCUAAAUUGAUCAAAGUGUUGAUAAUAAAGAAAUCUUGAAAGAAUUCAGAGAUAAAUAUCUGGAGAGCCUAAAGAAAUAAAGACAUACCUAGAAUAGGUAUGUCGUUAUUGCUCAAUAUUAUCCUUAUGAUUUUCUCUUCUCCCAGUUGAGCUGUGGACUCUAGUGUAAAGUCAAUGGAAAGAUAGAGGGCUGAGGAAGUAACCCUUGAAUUGGCUAUAGGACAAUAGUUGCUGCUGUGACUAUGGGUAUCUAUUCUUCACGAUCAUCGUUUGGAUUUAGUUCUUAGAGACGGUCUCUAUCAUUUGCAUGGUGAUGCAUAUGUGAACUUAAUUGAGUAAGCAGUGAUUGCCAUUGGAUAUGAGAGAUCUAAAAUUGAGAUGAACCUUAAAGUAUAUAUGGACUCUUAGGCUAAGUCGUAUUGGAAAAGAAAUGAUUAACAAAUUGAAGAAUAUGAGUUUUUGGGCUCAUUGACUGUUGAGUCAAAUCUAGUUUGUAUAUCAUCUCUUUGAGAAAAUAUGACCAAGCUACUCUUGUGGGAUAAGAAAAAAUGACCACUGAGAAACUUGUCUUUGUACACAUUUGAUGUGUGUAGCCCAUGUGAUGUGCUAAUCAAGGAGUUGUCUUAACUUUGUAUAUGAGAUAUAAAUCUAAAAUUUUUGAAAGGUUCUAAUAAUUCAGAUAUAAAGUAAAAAAAAAUUAAAAAUUUUUAAAGAUACUUCGAUCGGAUCGAGGAUGCAAUACCAUUGAAAAAAAAAUUUUAGUUAUCUCAUAAUAUGGCAUGGUUUUAUAUUGGACUGCUCCUAGUACAUCUCAGCUCAACAAGAUAAGAAGAGUCAAAGAACUAUAUGAGAUAUGGUCUGAUCUAUAAUGAAAUUCACUGAUUUAUUUUGUUUCUUUAGGAACAUGCUUUAUUUCUAUGAAUUUAGGUUCUCUCUAAACAUGUUCCUACCACAUCAUAUGAGAUAUGACAUGGUGAGAACUGAAUCUUAAUUAUUUUGAGAUUCAAGGAUGUCCAGCCUGUGUCUAGAACAACAGGUGGAUAUAUUAGAGGAUAGGUCUAUAAAGCUCAUCCUAAAAGAGUUUUGGAUAUUACUUUCUGAAAGAAUUAUAAUGUGAUUGUGACACGACAUGCUAUCUUCUUGAAAAUUAUUUAACCAAGAUGAAGCAGUGGGAGGAAAGUCUAGCUUUAGGAGAAUGUCUCUGAAGAGCAGAGAGCCUUGGGACCUUAAGAACCUAUUUAUCAUCAUGAACCAGUAGACAUAUAUUUUUCUUCCAUCUCGUAUACAUAGUAGGCUCCAAUCCUCUUGAAAGGUAUUCAGGUAUGCUUAACAGAGGAUGUAGAGAAAAUCAUUUUUCAUGGGAGAUGAGAGCAUAGAGAUGAUCCCAGAACCUACAACAAGACGAUGUAAGACAUCGACUUCAAGAAAGAAAUGUGAAAUAGCGUUCUUGAGAAGAGAUCUUCUGAAGAUUUCUAUAUAGAAUAGUCUAUAGAUUUCACUUCUUGUGAUAUGAGAUCAUAAAAUCUAUAAUAAUUUUGGAGUUGGAACUUUUAAUAUGAUCAAAUUGUUUGAUUAGAAAAGAAGAAUUAUGAGUUUCAAAAGGAUCAGUAGGAGUAUCCAAAACUGACAUCGAUUAAAAUAUGAUUGAAUAUAGAUUUUUCAUAAAAGAUAUAAGUUGAGUAUCCUAAAGAUCUAUAGAGAUAGAUACAAUUGGAUGCUUGUGUUUUUACAGAUAAAGUAUAGAGACUAGAUGCUGAAAGAGUUCAGCAUAAAACUCUCAGAUAGGGGUCUGCUAUCCUCUCGGGCAUAGUCGUAUGCCAUAUAAUGUACUUAAACUAAUAUAAAUAAUACUGUAAUUGUCACAAGUAGAUAUCAGUUAUAUACAGGCUAUGAGCACUAGAUUGCUGUGAAAACAUCCUUAAGCUCUUAAGAAGAACUAAGGAUAUGCUCUUAAUUUGGAGAAAGAUCAAAGUUAGAAGUGAGAGGAUACAGCAAUUCAGAUUUUAUAUCUGAUAUUGAUGGUAGAAUAUCUACAUCAUGAGGUAUGUUCCUAUGUCGAUAUCUUGGAAGGAUUUCAAGUAAUCGAUCAAUGGAAGCUGAGUGCACUGUAGAUAUGUAGGAUGCAUUCUGAUUUUAAUGAUAGUUGCAGAAUUGAUUAACAUGCCAUCAGAUACCAUGACAAUGGCACCAUAGUCUUUGCUAAGGAGCCUAGGUCUCAUCAGAUAUCCAAGCACAUAGAACAACAGAAUACAUGACUACCUCAAGUAGAAAUACAUAGAGGUGUAAAGAACAAACACCACAUGUGAUGCGGUUGACCCACUGAUAAGUCACUUAGCUAGCCUGAGACUAAAGCUUGUCUUGUGAAGACAGAGCUUGGUAUAUGGCAGAUUGUCUUUAGUGUAAGUGGGAGAUUAUUGGAUGUAUGUCCUAGAAGCCAAUCUUGGCUGACAUAUUUCAUAUAUGUAGGAUAUGAUUUUGUACUUAUUGGGCAAUUAUAUUACCAUUCAUAUUUAUAUGUCCAUGAAUCAUCCAAGAAAUUAAUAAAAUGAUGACACAUAUUCUCAAAGAAUUAAAAAUUUAAGGCAUGUGUCAUUGAUGGUUGAUUCCUAAAUUGCUCCUGGUCAUAGGAUUAUUAUGGGGAUGAUGAUUGAUCUGGAUAGACCAAUGCACGGAUCACUUCCUUCAGACAGAUGGAUCUCGAGUCUGCAGUGUAGAGACACUGGAGCAAGAGUGCAGGUGGUUGUUAAAGAACAACUAGCACUGAGCGUGACCAACAUGAGAAGUUACAUAGAUGUCUGUUCACUCGUUGGUGACUUUCUCGAUACUGUAGUUGUAUGACUGAUCUUUUGAUCUGAGAUGAUACUAUUACUCGCAAUAAGGCUGCUGGAGUUUGACUGACACAUCAACAUGGAUCUCAAUGAGCUUUUGUAGUGGAUGUUGGCGAUAGUUGAUUCAUUGUAGGAGUGGGGUGUAUAUCAAGAUGGGAUCUAUCGAUCCUAGCAGAAGAAAAUAGUUCUAUACGAUUUAAAAGGCUGAGUCCUUAAGUCUAUGGCCAUAGCAAUGUGAUUGAUGGAAAAGAGUUCAUAGAAUCAUAUAUGGACUCAGGCUGAUUGAAUCUAUCAUAUGGCCGAUGUUGAGGUUUGACGAUUCAUCCAUGACCUACCAUCUGAUCGAAAUUCACGAUAGAGAAACUGUAUCAUGCAUUAACUAUACCUAGAGGUUCAUCUUUUAUUCUGUUGGGUUGCCACUAUAUACUGUUAGGUAUCACUGGUGGAUCGUGAGACUCAUGAGGAUCAUCUUGAUGAUCAAUGAUUCUUGAUGGAUAGAGUUAGAAUUAUUCUAAUCCAUUGAAAAGAGUUUCAAUGAUAUUAUGAUAGGGAUCACAAUAUAUCUCACUACCAGAUAGAAUAGAAUCUAUGGAGUCACACACNNNNNNNNNNNNNNNNNNNNUAACUCGCUAAAGAGUUAGUGAGUUAUAGAAGGAUUAAUUAGCAAUAACAUUACUAAUUGGCUCAAUUUGAUUGAGCAAUGGGGCUUGCAUCAAGUUCAAUUUGAUUGGAUUUAAUUUGACUCAUUAUAUAUUUGAUUUGAUCAACCCCAACAGGAUUAUAGAAUAAUCCCAAAAGGAUCGGAUGAUUAGCCCUAGUUGAAUUAGAAUUUGGGUUUGAUCCAAUUCUUAAUUAGAUUAGGAUAUAUAUAUUCCUAAUUAGCUAGGAAUCCUUAUUUUCAUGAGUGCACCAAAUCCUAAUUGGAUUAUGAUUAAAAAUUGAGUUUGACUUAAGCACCAAGAAAUAGUCCAAUAGGACUAGGACUCCUCCAAUUAGGAGAUAUUUAAUCUAAAUUAAUUAGACUUCAAAUAAGAUUUGGAUUCUUAUUUAUUUGAGUCUAAUCUAGUCCUAAUAUGAUUAAGAUUAAUUGGUAUUUUAAUUGAGUUUAAAAUAGCCAUGUAAUAAAGAGUCCCAUGUUCUUAAAACUCUUCUCUCGAUGUCUUAAAAGAGCCCCAUGCCACAUUGAUUUUGUGUGCACGUCCAUGCCAGAUUUUGACACCAUCUUUGCUCCCUAAUUAGCAUGUAAGGACUCCUAAUUUCCUUAGUUCACAUGUAAUAGCUGGGUGAAUUCUUUGGAUUGGGUGGCGUUAAAAAAUUGGAAGAGUCCAUGAACGUUUGGACUCUUUAUUCCUAUCCAUGUUAGGACUCCAUGUUUGCCUAUAAAUACCCACCUUAUGGGAUGGUGAAAGGAGGGAUUUAGACCAAGUUGGGACAUCCAAAAGGGGAGGAUUUGGCAUGGAGAAAAAUAAGGAGAAAGGGGCGGUGAAGAGGUCCUUGGCGUGAAGUAUUUCUCUCUUCCUAUCUCUUCUUUCUUACAUAACUAAUAGUUAGUUAUUAGGACAUCUUCUUCUCUCCCUCUUGUCCAUAUUUAGACAUAGAUGUCUCCUCUUUUUCUUGUCCAAAAGUUAGACAAAAUUCUUACAUCUCUAUUGUAGAGAUUUGGUGCAUGGAUUUUAGGAAGAAAAGAGAAGAAAGGAUUCUUCUUAUGAUCUCUAGCGUAGAGAUUAAGAUCCUCCUACAUCUUCUUGUUCUCUAAGAGUGUCUUAGGAGAAAAAAAAAUUUUAACCAUCAAGAAGCGAUCUUUGCAAGGGAGCUAGCAUCUCGAUGAGAUCAAAAGGCUUCUGAUCAGAUUAGAGUCUCGUGUGGAUAUUCGUAGAAGCCGUAUGCUUGUGCGGCUAAAAGAGAUCUUCGGUAGAUAUCCAUGAUCAUUUGUUCAUGUUGAAGAUUGAUCCAUGUCUAGGUAUGUUUUAAAUUUAUUUUUUUCUAUUUAAUUUUUGUAUCUGAAUCUUAUCUCACAUAUGAUGAUCCUGUUAUGGUUUGAAGAUUUGAUCUUAUGCAUGUUUAGAUUAAAUUAGACUUAAUCUGAAAAAUUUUUAAAUUCUGCUGCAUACUAGUUUUAUAAAAUCAUGCGUGCAUGAAACCAUAAAACUCCAACACAAACAAUAUUUUUCAACCAGAGGAGGGUGAUGGCGAUUAAAGGAUGGUAGGUCCUCAUCUUGGGCCUUUGCUACUGGCCAUCCGCUAGCGGGAGUUGCCACCAGGGGAUGGGGCGAAAGGGAGAAGGAUGAUGACUGGAUCGGUUAGGCCCGAGUCGUUGGUGAGUCAACCCAGGUUGGGAUGUGCGGAGACUCACUCAGAUCGAGCGAAGGUGGUUGCCGGAGAUGGCAACUGGAUUCAGUCGGUGAAGGUCACGCAGCGGUGAUCGCCCGAUCGGAUGCAUCCGAAGCUGAUGAUUGGUCGAUCGAUGGGGGGUGUGAUGUUGUCAGUGGACGAUGGGGGUUGGGUUUCGGGCCUCAAUCCGUUCGCCCUAUUGGCUGGUGGAGGAACCGCAAGCAUGGAUGGGUGCGCAUCUACGAGGGGAGUUGCGGGGAAUGGCCCAGCCCAGCCUAAAAUGAACCAGGCAGGAGAGGAGAAGCGGGCAUGGGCAGCGAGCCAGCUUAAGCAGGCCCGACCCAAUGAACUUGACAUGGGUCAGGCUCCAGUGAAGCCCACUAGUCAUGAUCUAGAUCUGGAGGGGCCCAAAAAAAGUGCAACAAAGAAAAAUAAGGGGAAAGAAAAGGCAGUGACCUAAGCACCCACAGACUUGGAGGAGUUAGUGGGUUCUUGGCGCCUUGGAGUCUUCUUUUUCGCUGUCAGGAGCAUGAUAGGAGCAGAGAUGGAUCCACCGGAGUGGGAAGGACUAAGUUGGAAGCCUGGUGGCCCAGUGGAGGUGGGGGCAUCGAGGUGGAGGGCCGAGCUAGUGAUGGCGGGCACCCCACCCAAGAGGAUGACGAUUGAGGGUCUAGAGCACAUGCAGGCCUCAGAUAUCGAACAGGACCUCACUCAUGAGGUUGCAGUGGCUAGGGUCAGACAGGCUAUCUGAGAUGAGGGGACAGCCAUUAAGAUAAAGGAGGCUUCAGAUGUUGUGGGUGACAUGGACUCUUUUGGUGAGGGGGGUACGAGUGCAGGCCCCCUACCUGGUGAGUCGUCUCCAUGAGGAUUUCACUCUAAAAUUAUCGGGGGGCGAAGAAGCCCUCCCUUCGAUCGACUUUCGCUUGGUUGAUCCAGCAGCAUGGUCCUGAUAUUUAUGUGCUAAGCGAGACCUGUCUUUUCUAGAUUGAGCUGGUCAGGGUCAAGUGGAGGAUCUCUAUGGCUUAGAGUUCUUAUGCUGUGGAGUCUCGGAGAUUGUCAGAAGGGAUCUUGGUGAUGUGGCAUCGAGGUUUGAUCCAAGUUGAUACAUUUCACAGUGUGAGUAGCAGGUGGUCCUUGUUAUCAUGGACCAGUCCUGACGGCCCUGGCUCCUCUCUGGUAUCUAUGCAAGCACUGAGCACAGAGAUCGGAGGGUGCUCUAGGUGGAGAUUUCUAGAUUCAUGAUGCAGGACUUGCCUUCUCUAGUGGCUGACGACUUCAAUAACAUUGUUGGCCCUUUCAAGAAGUACGACAGCAAGCAGAAGAUGGAUAGUAUGGAGCCUAAGGAGUUUAGAGAGUUCAUUAGUAGCACUAGUGCUGAUCGAUCUCAAAUUUAUUGGUUCAAGAUUCAUCUAGUGCAACAACCGACAUGGGUCUGCUCGGAUCUAAGAGAGGAUAGAUCGAGCUUUAACUUUUACUGACCGGCUCCAGCGCCAUCCGAGAUACUCUAAUCAGCAUCUGCCGAGGAUUGUCUCAAAUCACUGCCCCAUUCUUGUUUCAAUGGAUGGCCUGGACCGACCUAGGACCCCCUUUCGAUUUAAGAAGCUCUGGAUCUUCUAUCUUAGAUCCUGAAACUUGGUUCGGGAGGUGUGGAGGAUGCCGAUCUGCAGGGAUGCGAGGUACAGGGUGACUCGUAAGCUGGAGCUAGCCAAACACAGGCUCCUUAGUUGGAACUGCUUUGAGGUGGGCACCAUCUUUUGACAAAUUGAGUGGAUCGAGGCUGAUAUUGAGGAGCUGCAGCUGAGGGAGGACCAGGGAGGUGGCUUACCUUAGCAUGAGUUGGGAGAGCUGUGAGAUAAGCUUUCUGAGUACCACUCUUUUCUAAGAUAGCAAGAGAUUUUAUGGAGGGAGAAAUCUAGAAUUCAGUAGAUUCGGAAGGGAGAUCGAAACACCAGGUUCUUUCAUCAGUCCACCAUGAUUCGGAGGUCUGCCAACCGUAUCAGGUAGCUGCGAAGGAAUGAUGAUAGUGUUGUAGAUGAUAGUGGAGGGAUCCAUGUUGAGAUCCUUCAUUUUUUCAAAGAUCAAUGGAUGAGGUCGCUUUGUGAGGACUGUCCCAUUCUGGGUGGUCGAUCAGUUGCCCGCAUCUCUGCAUAGGAGAAUGAGAUUUUAAUUAGAUCAGUGUCUUCUGAGGAGGUGCAUGGAGCCCUUUGGUCUCUUGAUAAGGAUAAGACCUUGGAGCCUGAUGGUUUUUUUUCUCUCUUCUUCGAUCGGUACUGAUCGAUUAUCCAGGAGGAGAUAGUGGAGGCGGUGUAGGUGGCAUUCAAGUCCAAAGGGGUUCUAAUGGUGUGGAAGCGGACCCUUAUUAUCCUUAUUCUGAAGCGGUCAGAUGCUUCGAUACCCGAGCAUUUCAGAUCUGGUCCAAUCUCUGUACUACUUUCUACAAGACGUGUGUGAGGGUUCUGAUUGGGUGGCUGAAGCUGCUGAUGUCUUGUCUGAUUAGUCCAGAGUCGGAUACUUUUAUUAAGGGUCGGUCUAUCACCGAUAAUAUUUUGCUUGCCUAGGAGUUCAUGCAUGACCUCUAAAGAGCUCCAUGUUGCCAUAGUCUCAUGGCCAUCAAGCUGGAUAUAGAGCGAGCAUAUAUCGGAUGAGUUGGGCUUUCCUCUGGCGGACGCUUCAGGAGCUGAAUUUUGAGGAGGGAUAGAUUGACUGGAUCAUGGACUGUGUCGAGCACCCGAGCUUCACCAUCUUCGUUAAUGGUACCCUGACAGAGUUCUUUUUUUCUUCUAUAGGUCUUUGCCAAGGUUGUCCUCUCUCUCCUACCUAUUCAUUUUAUGUGCUGAUGUCUUAUCCAGGAUGUUAAGAGCAGCGAUUCAAGGACAGACCUUGGAGCCAUAUUGGUCUGCCCCUAGUGUCCUGCCACUCUCGCAUCUAUUUUUUGCAAAUGACUGCCUCCUCAUCGAGCAUGAUUUCACUCAAAAUGCGAAGUAUUUUGCCUCUAUUAUCUGGGCCUACUACUAGAUAUCAGAGUAGUUGGUCAAUAUUCAGAAGUCCGUAGUCAUCUUUAACCCGAGGAUGAAGGCCCAGGUCAGUUUGGCGAUCAAGGAGAUCCUGAGGACUUGGGAGCGUCAAAGACACUGACCUAUCUCAGGGUUUCGAUCACUAACCAUCGUUUACAGCGAACUGAGUGUAGACCCUUGAGCAGCAGAUUCAGAAGUAUCUUCAGGAAUGGCAGGCCAAUGCCCUCUCUUUCAUGGACAAGACCAUUUUGGUGAGAUCAAUGCUGAGCUCCAUUCCGAUUUACCUCCUGUCCCAUACGAUUAUCCCUGUUGCUUAUAUCAGAGGGAUGAAGUAGCAGCUUUGCAACUUUUUGUGGGAUUUUGGUGGCGAUCGUCAUCGACUCCAUCAGCUCUCCUGGGAGGUAGUGUGUCAAUCUAUGCAGGAUGGUAGCCUAAGGAUCCAUUUCUUAUUAACGAGGAGGGAGACUUUGAUCGUCAGGCAUGCGGUCAGAUUUUUGAUCCAGUUGGACUGUUUAUGGAUCAUGGUGAUGAGAGUUCAUUACAGUGGGUGGAGUCAUGGGACUCCCAUCCAGGCUGUUCGGGGCUGCUCUUUCAUUUGGAGGAAGAUUUGUGCUUGAGGACCUGAUGUGAUGGACCAAAUCAUGUGCUUGAUCGGUGAUGGUCGUUCGAAGGAAAUCUAGGGUGCCUAGAUUUCGAGCAUUUCUUUAUCUCGCUGGCCGAUCCUUGUCAGUAACAAGAUGGAGGAUCACAUGAGAGUGUCCGAUCUCAUCAUUAUUGCUGCCUCCAGUUGGCGCGCACAGGAGAUCACUUGGCUCUUUAGGCAACCACUUGCUGAGCGGAUCUUUGCCAUCCCGAUUUCGAUGCACCCCACUCAGGAUGUGAGGAUCCGGGGAUGUUCCUACUGCCUGAAGAUUUCUUUGAGGGACCUCUUUCAUUUAUAUAGAUGGAUGCCUUCUAGAUGGAUUGAGGCUAUCUGGAUUUUGAGAGUUGCAACUCAUCCUAUGGUGCAGAUUUUUCUCUGAAAACUUACUUGGAACCACCUCCCUACACGGACACUUCUCUGGGAGAGGAGCAUAAAGAUUCUGUUAGAUGGAUGUCCUAAAAACCAAUAUGACUGACAUAUUGUAAUUAAUCUAGGAUAUAAUUUUAUAUUUAAUACAUUGAUUUGAUCAAUAAAAGAAUAAAUUUAUUUUUCAUUCAAGUGUGAUGUGUCCUUGAGUCGUCCAUAGAAUUAAUUUUCAAUACAUAUUCUCAAGAUGUUGAGAAUUAGAGAUAUGUAUUUAGUUCUUAAAUACUUUUGAUUAUAGGAUUAUCAUGAGGAUGGUGAUUAAUCUAGACAGAUUGAUGCACAGAUCGCUUCUUUCAGGAUAGAUGAGUCUCUAGUCUACAGUAUAGAGGUACUAGACGAUGAGUGCGGAUAGUUAUUAGAGAAUAACUAAUACUGAGCGUGACUAUACGAGAGAACACUUAAAUUUUUAUUCAAUUAUUAGUGAUUAUCUCGAUGUUGUAGUUGUGUGACUGAUUUUUUUAUCUGAGAUAGUACUACUAUUUACAACGAGGCUGCUGGAGUUUGAUUGAUACAUAAAUAUAGGUCUCAAUGAGCUCUUAUAGUGGAUGUUGGCGAUAGUUGAUAAACUAUAGGAAUAAGAUGCACAUCAAAAUGAGAUCUUUCGAUCUUGAUAGAGAGGAGUACUCCUAUAAGAUUUGAGAGGCUAAGUUCGAGAGUCUGUGGCCACAGCAGUGUGAUUGAUGGAAAAGAAUUUUCAUAGAUUUGAGCUGAUCGAAUUUAUCAUAUGACUGAUGUUGAGGUUUGACAAUUUAUCCAUGACCUGCCAUCUAGUCGGUACUCACGAUAGAGGGAUUGAAUCACACGUUAAUUACACCUAAAGAUUUAUUUCAGUUCUACUGGAUUGCCACUNNNNNNNNNNNNNNNNNNNNGGGGUCAUACAACAAAGGGAUUAGAUUUGAAAUUAGCAAUUGAGCUUAUGAAGUAUCAAUUAGGUUUAGAAAAAUUCGAUUGGGUUCAAGAUAACCUUGCUAGCACAUGGUUGGACCCAAUUUUUUCUUUAUGUUUGGAUUUCUUAUUUGAUAAGAUAAUUCAAACUUAAUUAUUUGUUAAUAACCUAUAUGAAUUAGAUUUAUUGGACUUCAAUUGUUGGGUGUCUAAGAUUUUGGAUCAUAUAAAUUAAGGGUGCAAGUCCUUAAUUAAUAUUCCUUGAUAGUUAUUAUGGGGUGCCACUUGAUUUGAUCAAGUUGGGCGUGUCCCAUGAUUAGAAGGCUUAUGGAUCCCAUAUAAGACGUCCCUUGGGUGCACUUUGGGGUGUAUUUAUGUGGGUGCAAGAGCUCCAAGAGUUGGCACCUAAAAGGAUUCUUAAAGGAAGUUGAAUAACUUAAGUUAUUAGGAAACCUAAUGCAAGUAGGACUUGUAUUAUAAGAUUGAAUAUGAUUUAAUUCUUAUGUCUAUUUAAAGGAAUCUCUCCUAAGGUCUCUAGGCAUCCCAACUCAUAGCCCACACCCACAAAAGAGAGCCCCCACGCCCUCUCUUCUCCUCCCCUUUUUUUCUCUCUUGGGCGUCCCACACGCCCCACCUUAGGCGUCCCAUCUCUUCUUGUGUGCUGGUUCCUGAUGUUUGAUAGCAGCAUAAAUCAAGGAAGAAAGGCAAGAGAAGAAGAGAAGAAGAAGAUCAAGGAAAGAGAUCAAAGAGUUAAUCGCGAUCCAAGUUUCGUUCAGAUUCAGCAGGCUGAAUUUUCUUAGAGAAAAAAAUUUAACUUGAAGAGGACGUUUCCAGACUGAUCCCGAGUGGAUAUCCAUAGAGGUUGAAUAUUUGUGUAGCUAGAAAAAAAUCUCUUCUCUUUCAUAUCCAGAUUUGAAGAAAGAAAUUACGAAACAGGUAUGUGAUUCGAUCACAUUCAGCAUAUGAACUAGAUCCUUGUGGUUUGUAUUUUAUGCAUGCAACAUAUAAAUUAAAAGAUAUUUUAAUCUUCUCUUCCGCUGCGCUGUUUUGAAAAGAAAGUUUUGAAAUAUACAUGCAUACCCCAACAUACGAAUUCCAACAGAUUCUGACCUUGUGUACGAUCUAUGGUAUGGAGGAUGAUUCUACAGAGCACGCAAUCCUGUGGUGCCCUAGGGUGAGGAUCAUUUGGAGACAGGUGGAUAGUUACCCAUGGGAGAUGAGCAUUGAUCUAUAGUUGGUAUCCUUCUUUGGCUUCAUCCGUCAGAGUGUGACUUACAGAAUGCCUAUGGUUGGUGGGCGAAUGGCUUAUAUUACUUAUCAGAUUUGGCUGUCUAGGAACAGCCUUGUCUUUGACUAUGAGAUCAUUCCUAUUCGUUAGGUGCUGGAGAGAGCAGUCUGUUUGGCUCAGGAGUACUGCCAGUUUGACACAGCCAUAUCGUCCUGCGACAUCUCCGACCUUUGGAGCUCCCUGGCUACCCCGGCAGCGACUCGUAGGGUUCUAUCCAUUUCUUGGGAGCCCUCUUCACUGGGGUUUGUCAAGAUUAACUUUGAUGGUAGUGUCAGGGGCGGGAGGGGUAGAGCGGGCUUUAUCAUCUACAACCCAGAUGGGAGAUUUUUGGUGGCUGGUGGGUCUUAUCUUUUUGGAUCUUCGAUUUCGAUGGUAGAACUUCACGUUGCCUGGGCAGGUAUCACCUUUGUCAGGCAUCAGCUUCAUGCAGAGAGGAUUUUUCUGAAGGAUGACUCUACUACUGCUAUUUCUUAGAUUCAGGGAGAAGCCAGACAACUCGAGGGUCAUCCACUUAUCUGAGAUGUUUGGACCUCUUUUCAUCAUGCUGCUGCAGUGCGAGUCCGGCAUGUCUAUCAAGAGGUGAACAUUGCAGUAGAUUAGAUGGCAGCUUUUGUUGCUGAGCACUCUAAUGAUUGGUUGUGGAGACAGGAUGAUGACUGUCUGCUGAUUUUGUGAAAUUUUGUGUAUCUUAAUCUUUUGGAUUGCUCUCGCAUCAAAUUGAUAUAACCACUUGUUUGUACCAAAAAAAAAGAAGAACAAGAAGAGGAGAGCAACCUUGACUCACCAUCCAACGUUUUCUAGCAAGGAUCUCCCCAUAUGCAAUAUAUUCUUCAAGGCCAGCUGCUUAAAUUUCUCCAACACUAUGGCUUUCCAAAUGACUUUGAUGGCUUGUAAUAAUUAUACUGGUUUAAAUGCAUGUCAUGUCCUUUUCAAAAAACAUUCAUGCCAGGGCCAAUGUUCUGAUGCCAAAUCUUUCGGCUUGGAAAAGGCCUUUAAAAUGAGCUAAGCUUAGUCUUAUGAUGCCACCAGUCUCGCCACCUAUGAUGCAUUAUUUCAAGAGCCAUUUGUAUGAAGCUGAAAACUAACCCGAUAUGGGGCCCUAAUGCGUACGUGCCGUCUAUAGAUGCUUUGAUCCCUCAUAUGUCUCAAUCUAGUAUUUCAUUUGGUAAUUCUGCACAACUUGCAGAGAUGACAUAUUAUUGCAAAAUAUCACAUAUACAGUGAAUCUAAGAAAAAUUUCUCAGAAAAAGCUUGAGAUUGUAGAGAUAUUUCUGAAAUAUUCUUCCUCAAGUUUUUUUCCUACUCCUUUCACACAUAUCACACCGAUGGAACCUCUUUCUUGUCUCUGCGGAAUAGACAGAUAGCCUCCUAUGCAUCGAGAAAGUAAAUAGGUUAGCAUGUUAGUAACUAUCUCCCACGAUCUUCACUCUCUUGCCUUCCUCCUCCUCAACAUCCCAUCUGGCCAACGUAAUAAUUUAAUCCCUCAUGUCUCGUUGUCACCUAAUCCUCAUCCGACCGACAUUCUCUAAUCCAACAUCCAAUUCUUUAUUCUGAUUGUUCUCAACGCUUUUUAAGCCAUGCUUGCCAUGACAGCUCUCCGAGAAGGCUUUUUUUUUUUUUUUUUAUAAUAAAUAAUUAGAGCACUUCUAAUCAUCAUUGUGUCAGUGGCAAUUACAUGGUGCUCCAAAACUGGUGCUUAAAAGAUUGCAUGGUCUUUGGCAUCGCACAUGAGAUUGUUGAAUAAUUCUCGGUGGAGAAAAGAAGAGCUUUUUAUCUACUAAAGUAUGGGAUUGUUAAAUAUUAAUUCUUGGUGGAGAGAACAAGAACAUUUCCUUUGAAACAUGUGGACAUUGGGAGAUCGUAAUCAAGGCAAGGGCUCCACCUAGUCUUCCAAUUAUUCUCCUAAUUCUUCAUUGAAUAGUAUCCGAGCGAAGCCCGUGAUUACCGCGCACAUGAGAGCACAUGGUUUGGAUGCGGAUGCCGGCUGUUAAGGUUGUGAUGUGAUGUCUGGUGCUUGCACGGCUACUUGGUUUGGGUCUGCGUGGCACAUGGCAUGUUGGAUGUUGUACUUAUCCUGCUAGAAAUUAAGAUUUAUUUGGAUUAUCCAUUAAAAUAAAAAUUAGCAUAUUUUUUUGAGCAAACUGAUGAUAAAAAGCCUAUCAUAUAUUUUAUUAAAAAUAAAAUGAGUGUAACAAAACAAGAGCAAUAGAUGUAUUAUUUGCGAUUAUCUAACUUGCUAAUAUGUCCGUGGACUUUUGUAUCAGUUGUUUGGACCCUCGUAUACUCUUCUUGUUAGAUGGUACUGAAUUAUUAAAUCUGAAUAACUAUAGCAAAGGGGAGAUGCAUAAUCUAAUUUAAAUUUAUUAAAAUAAUUUUUUACAUUAAAGAUAUUCUUGUAAAAAAAGUUAUUGACAAUCAAUCUAAUAAUGAUAAUUGAACCAUUUUAUUGUUGCAUUCGUAUCAUCUGAUCCGGACUGUGUAAUAAACAGACGGUUUGUUGUUCAACCAUUUACAUUCCAAAAUAGAUAGUUCUCACAUUUUGAUAGUAGAUAACUAAGCAAGUCUCAUCAUUUGGUCGAUUACCCAUUGUUGAAUAGUGGGAUCCACAUUUGAGGAUGGUAGUGGUGGUGCAGUUGGACUACUUGGAUUUUUCAAGAACUAAAACGUAUGAUGACCCUCUAAGGUUUUUACAUUGGAUGUUCAAUUAUUAGAUCAUAUGAUGAAGUUCUUUUCCCGGUAAAAAAAGGAAACAAAAAAAAGGAUUAUAUUGAGAUACUGCUAUCUUAAAUUUAGAUUUAAAAAGAUUAAUGAAUCAGCAUGAUAUAAAUUAUUGCUAGUUCAUCCAGAGAUGACAUUUUUCAUGAAAAUUUUAACUCCUAAUCAAAGAGCUAAUGACAAUGGGGAUUUUUUUUUUCUUAAUCUCAUUUCAGGUGAUCUGUAAGUACAUGAAAAACAGGAUCUAAGCAUAGUAAGAAAAAAGAAAAAGUACCUACUUCAAUUUUUUUUUUAAUUCAUAUUUUCUUUAUAUCCAAAUAUCAAAGGAGCCCUCCGUUGACGAAAACUUGAAAGAUAAACUUAUCUAAAGAUCCUUAUAUGGAUUACGAAUAACUGAUUAUGGCUUAUAAUUUAUAACUAAAAACUAAAUGCGAACAAAAUAAGAAUUGUAGUGGGGCAUCUAUUUUAAUUCGAAGAAUAAAAUUACUUAUAGAUCUUUUAAUGGAUCAUGAAUCUUUUUUAGAACCAAUGGCUUUAAGAUUCGGCAUUUUUCUAGGUUCGUUUUAAUCGUAUCUUCUUCUUCCGCAUUCUUUUGCUCUCUUUUUUAUCUCUUUAAUUAAAAUAUUAGUACUCUAUUUUUUUUAUACAUUACUCCUUCUAAUUCAUUUUUUUUAUUCUUUUUUUAUUAAAUUUUAAGAGGAUGUUUGGAUGGAGAGAGUGAGGAUUUGGAAUGGGUGACUCCUAUGCCAUCUGUUUGCACCACACUUCAUCUUUUUCUCAAUUCAUUCCAUGCUCUAUUGUCCAUCUAUUUAUACAAAUCUUAAUUCACACCAUUUUCUAUCGUUCGGCCUAUAUAGAUCUCAAAACAAUCCAUCUUUUAUCAUCCAUCUGCCUGCAUAGAUCUUAACAUACUCAAUCUUUUGUCUUUCAUCAGCUUGCAUAGAUCGCAAAGCACUUUGUCCAUGCGAAUCUUCUUUUCCUCCUUUUUCAAUUCAUGCCAAAAUAAGAGCCCCUUGCUAAAUUAAUUAGUGGAAAUGAUAAUUCUGAAAUUUUACAAAAAUUUAGUUAUUAGAUGAUUCUCUCGUGAUAAUAUUUUGUAAUAGAAAUAGAAUACCAGGCUAUAUUGCAACAAAUUUAAAAUUUUGAUGAGUAAUUAAUACUUUUCAAACUUUUGAGAAUAAAUGACCCAAACUUAAAAAGGUUUUUCUAUAAUUUUAUAGGUGCUGUGAUCGUAGUAGAGUUGAUCAUAGACUAGAACUCGGGCAUAACUGCAUUCAUUUUAGGACCAAUUUAAAACUUGAUUCUCAGUACCCAAGCCCGGCCCAACUAUAUUUACUUUUAAUCAGUCUUAGGAACAAAUCUAUUUAAAACUUGAUAUUUUUUGUGCUUAAAAUUUGGCCUAGGAUCAGCUCUAUACGGUAGGCUUAGACGCCUUGCACUCCCAAACUAAUUUAGCGAUAUAUCGAACCGACAAACUCUUACCCAGGCCCAAACCACAGGCUGAUAAGGAGUCAUGAUCUAAAAAGCGAGCCCGGUCUGUCGGACGACGUUGCUCUCUAAGCCCAUCGACGGUCACGUGUAGUCAGGCGGCUUUCCUUCUCUGAGCAUAACAUUACUCCGAACGUUCGGAUAAUAACUUUCUGACACACGGAGUCCUUCAAGAAUAAUAAACAUGUAAUCAUGUGUACAGCAUUUGGAAAUUAUUCAUCUUUAAAAUUUCAAAUGUAAGCAACUGUAGAACUGAUCUUACACUCAAAAUCCUUCAAGAAAUCCUAUGAGGAGCAUGCAUCCGGUGCCACAAAUGUUAUCGCAUAAUAUUUUAUUCUACUACUAAGAAAAACUUUUCCAAUGCCUCUACUCGCAGGGCUCCAUUUCAUGCAUCUCUAAUUUUUCAAUUUUGACAAACAUUUAAAUUUUAAUUUUUUAAAUUUUUUUAUUUAGUAAAUUUAGAGUUUAAUUUGCAUCUUUUGAAUAGCCUACUUCUCAAACAUAUGCAAUGGUAGAAAAAAAAGGUAAGGACCAUGUUCACCGUCGAAAAAGAGAGAGAUCAAAAUUUUUUGAAUAUUAAAAUAUUUAUAAUUAAUUUAUCACUACAUAUAUAUGCAUGACACAUACCGAUUGUAGUUUUAAGUUAUAGUGCUCACCGAUUUUGAAUUUCAAAUUUAUGUAGCCUUUUCAGUGAAUAUGAUGACCACAUAUUACUUCAAUUUUGAAGUAAGAUGCAGAUUUUUUAUGAUUAAUUAUAUAAUUUUAUUGAAAGAAAAAAUUUUAAAACAUUAAUUUUAUAUAGCUCAAAUCAUGUAAUGACUAAUUAUUAUUAAAAAUAUAAUAUUAUAUUUAUUUAUUAUACUUCUGUGCUGAUGUAAUGAUGAUGAAAAUAAACCGUACAGCUAAACUUCACUGCGAAGCAACAGCAAAAACGUUUGGCAGACCACUUGCGGGAUAAGUUCCUUACAAAGUGCUUCACGUCUAAUGUGUUUUAUAGCGGUAUGUCAUCAGCCGGACACAUGAAAGACAGUUCUACAAGAUUAGCUGACAUCAUGGUGAUAGAAAAAGAUAUCCCAUGUUAAUUAUUCCACUUGGAUUAUUUGAAACAAAAUAAUAUCAUAACUGGAAUGAGCAGGAUAACUGGGAUAGCAAAGUACAUUGGACCAUGCUAGGGGAAAAACAAAGUUGCAAAAGAGCUUUUCCACCUGAGCAGAACAUUCCGGGGCCAAUUGGAGCUCGAAAUUGGAUGGUAAUCCUACGACUUUUGCAUGAAGGCGAGAUACUUUAGGAUGCAGUCCUUCCAGCCCCUAUUUUUAUUACAGAUAGCUCCCUAUAUCUCACAAACAGGGGGCCUUGAUGUCUUCCCACCAUCCCGGUUGUCCAGAAGACAUCCCAACGGUUACAUGAAUGGUGGGCCCCACGUGAAGCCCACACACCGUUUUUUCGGCCUCCACUGCCCGCUCCAUGCCCGGUUAUCUUAGAACGAGAAAUUUAAAAUAUCGCAUCGUGGGAUGAUCAUGCAAAUUCUCUUGCUCCAUUUUUUUCUCAGCUGAUAAAUUGAUAAAAGCAUAAUCUUCCUCUAACAUCCCCCACCCCAUAUUUUGGGAAAUUUCAUAAGCCAGACUUUUGAGUGACUUUUCUUUUUGUGAAAAACAUGAUGCUAUUAUUAGUAAACUACUAAGUUCAUUUUCUUGGUCUGUACUAUGCAUUAAUAGUUAGAUUUUGGAUCAAAGUUAUUGACUUUUAUGGACAUUAGUGUAAGUUAAGAUGGAUGCCUAUAUGGUCGAGAGAUAGUGAUUACAUGAUCUACACAAAUCUAAAUAUUAAUUAGAUGCUAAUCUUGGUGCACAUUAAACUAACAUAAAAUGAAUUGUUAGCUUUACUUCCAAAGGUUAAAUGAGGAUCAUCUUGUCCUACCAUGUUUAUUAUGAUAAAAAGUAAGAGUUCGAUGUGUAUAUAUAAGAUGUCAAUUCUGAUGCUCCAACAUUGUGUCCUCUAUGGUAUUUUCUAAUAGAGAAGUUUAGGAAAGAUCAGUACGUAUGGAUGUAGAGCUAUGAUAUGAAUGAAAUUAUCACAAGCAACUUGUUUUUAGUUAAAAAUUUGAUAUAAUAAGGACUCAAUCAAUUAGUAAAUAGCUUCAACUUGGUCUAUGUUCUAAGCUCAAAAAAAAUUUCAAACUAAAAUAGAAACUCAACAUACUUGUUUAUGUUAUCUCUAGUUAAUUAUAUAUUUUUCAUAUUUUACUAUUUAUUAUUUAACUAUCAAAAUCUACUCCAUAUGACACCAACUCUUCCUAUACCUUUGAGAAUUCUUCCUUAGCCACUACUCCCCUUUUUUCUCUCUUCUCUUUUUAUUCUUAUUAGCAUUCAAUAUGCAAGUUGUAUACACCGUGUUUUCUCUUAUGUUCCUCUCUUCUUCGCAUGAGUCCAAAUUUUCUCAUAUAUAUGUCAUCAAUCACGUGUUUUGUAUGUAUGAUAUUCUAGUAUUAAUCUAAUGGCUAAGUCGAAACAUUUAACUCACUAAACUAAGGUCUAAUGACUAACGUAAGCUCCAUGUGUGGUAAAAGUCUUUGACACUUCAAGCUCUUAUAAGUCCCUUAAAGAAGUAAUCUGCGAACAAUUAAGCUUAAUUAGCUCAAAAUAAAUUGAUCAAAGACUCAAGCCAAGAGAUAUUUUUUUGACAUAUAAUAAGACCGAGCAAGGCAUCCUCGAAAUUGACUCGGUUACAUGUUCAAAAACCCUAGAUGUGAAUGGUAGGAUUUGUCUUAUACAUGUUACUGCUCUUUUGUUGCUUAUUUUGGUGAUUUGAUCAAGAGUUCAUAAUUAGGUACACAGUUGCAAGAAUAACAAAAAUAAUUUAUUUUAUGAGAUAAACACCCAUGAGCCCAUAAGACACCUUAGGAACAUAUUUGAUUCUCUCUAUUAUUGAUGAUUAUAGCACGACGUACGUGUUGGAUGUGGUAGUUGAAAGAUAACGAGCAUGGAGGUAUAGUCUAUAUAAGGUAUUGAUAAAGUCACUACUUCUAGGGUUUAAAAUAGCCAUUGAGGACCAAAAAGAGUUUAUGAGGAAUGAAGCUACUAAAUGACUAAUCACCACGCUAUCUCCCCAUGCGCCUCAUCCUAGCUUCAUCACCCCGAUGUUUGGCCCUUCAAGUGGGGUUUUUGUGAGGGGUUAUCUAAAGAAUAAGGUUUCUCAUGUAGCAUAUAAGCAAGGAAUGAAGCCAUUGCAUCCAAAUCUUUAAAGUUUAGCCUAGGAUUACAAACUUCCAAUGGCAUGAAACUCUAUGAAAAGCUUAGUAUAGGGUAAAUUCACUCUUUUAUUCAUUUGGGUUUUAUUUACUUCUGGUUGUGGGGAAAAGGGAUUCUUUGGCUAUAUUACUCUCAUACUAAUUUAGUACCAUGUAGUUCAAUGUAUUAACUGAACCAAAAAAAAAGAGUUGUUUGUUUGGCAAGUGAAAAGUACUUGAUAUGCCUUCCAUUCCUUAAAAACUAUGGACUCAAGGGUUAAGAGAAUGUUUUAAGUUCAAGUUCUCUUAAUUUCAGUCAUAUAAUAUAUUUAUUGUUCCAAUGUGUCUCAUUAAGCAUAGACCUAAUCUCUAGUGCCAGUAUGUGGAAGAAACAAGUAGUACUAUCAAAGAUUAGCUGUAUCAAAAAUUCAAGGGCUCUACUAAACCAAAAUAGAGUUAGCGCUACAUCCAGCCACAAUUAGACAUUAGCUUAUAUAUUAAGUAUUUAUAAGUCCUCAGUUUCAAAUAUUCAAUAAUACAUUUGUCCCAUCAAAACUGAAGGUUACAAUUAUUGUAAUGAUUGAGUCAUUUUUUAAACCCAUCUUAAAAGUAAUAUUUCCAAAUUUGGCUCCCUUAAUGCAUAGCAGAUUCUUAUCUAUUGAAUGUUCCUCUCAUGUUUCUCUAAGGAUUAAAUCCAACUGUAAUAGUAGUAUUGACGUCAUGGUCUCACGUACUAGGUAUGUAUACUUGCAGGCAGGUUCUUAUAUGUUGAUAUUCAAAGUUAGUUCAGUUUGGUCAUCUGAUCAUUUAGAACUAAUGUUGAAUUGAUGAACUGUUAUUAUUAGAGCGAGUUCUCUAUUAUUUAUGUUCUUCCUAGUUAUUUUGGAAAGAAAUACUAAGUAUAGUGUUAGCUAAUUAUGUCAUAGUAAAGAUUUAAAAGUUUGCGUAUAUCAAAUUUGUGAACUACAUUGAGCUUUACCUUGAUUGUGGUGGAGCUCAUGCAAAUGAACACAUAAAAUAAAUAAAUAAAUAAAAAAGAUCAAUCACAUUCAACAACAAAAUAUGGAAUAUAAAGGAGCCGAGCAACUCUAUGUAUACACCACUUACAUUAUUUUUCUUAAUAAAAUAAGUAAUUAGAAAAUGUAGUCAAGAGUUAUUUGAAGCUUUCCUUUUCUUUUCGAAUAAUAGUAGCACAACCACCAACCUAAACCCAUAAUGUUUCGAACAUGCACAGAAUGAUUUUGAUGAGAGAUGCCAACUAGCAGAACCUAUUAGCCAUAGUCCCCAAUCUAAAGUGAUAUCUUUUUUUUUUAAAGAAAGAUAGAAGUCAUGAUCAGCAUUACUAAGGUUUUGAUUUUCUUUUUUUUUUUAACCCUUCUAGAUUUUCUUUAGCCCUUCAAGAACAACAGUGGCACUGCCACCUAUCUAAAUCUAUUUUGAUUCAAACUUAGAAUCUUUUCCAGAGAAAUAUUUGUGGAACAGUGCCAAUUAUCAAACUAAAAUCUAUUAAUAAAAGUAAAAGUCAUGAAUCUAAAACAAUUUGGAUUUCGAAAAUGAUGGAAAUCAUAAUUAGCAUCAUGGACAAUCCAACCUUCUAUUUCUUUUUUCUUUUUUCACCCUCUGAAGUAAUAAUGUAUUUCCACCUAUUUAAAACCUGUUUUGACUUGAACUAGGAAUAUUUUUCCAAGUGCAAUAUUUGAGGAGGGGAUUCCACAGCCAAGUAGCUGAAUUUGACAAUGUAAAACAAUCUUUUUUCGAAAAAUAGGAAAAAAUAUAAUCAAUGCUAUUUUGAACUUUAGACUUUUGAAAAAUAGGGUGGAGCCUAUUUUGAACUUUAGACUUUUUCAAACACAAUAUUUGAUCAGAAGGGUUGCUCAUUAGCAUUGGAAAUGGGCUGGGUUGUGUUGGGAAGGGCCACACCCUAACCCAAACUUGGACCAAUUUUUUUUGGGCUUUAAGCCGGGCUUAGCCUGAAAGAUUUUGGAAAAACACAAGCUCAAGCAUGGUUCGAGCCCGACCCGAGUUUGACCUAAACUUGAUUGGGCUAGCUCAAGUUUGUAGAAGAGGCUGCAAUUUAUUGAAUCACAAAUAGCUUUCUCAUUGAUAAUUCAGAAUUCUAAUCAUUUUAAUAUAUCUUAAAUCACAGUAAACUAUUAUACCUCCAGAGGAUUCUACAGAAGCUUAAAAACUCCAAUAUUCAAUAAUUUGUGAACACAAAGAUUUAAAGAAAAAUGAUGAAGGAUUUAAGAUUUGUUCAAACAUGCAUUUAGUCUCCAUUCGGGAUCUUAUUCGGGCUCAGGCUCAAGUCGGGCCAAUAAUAUACUCGAGCUCGGUCCAAAAAAAAUGUGCUCUAUAUUUAAGCCCAAACUCAGCCUAAAAUCUUUUGAAUUUAGCUCGCAGUCUAACCUAAAGUCGAUCCAGCCCAAAUUCCUAUUUUCAACCCUAGUGCCAAUCAUUAGACUCAAAACCUAUUAACCAAAGUCACCAAUAUGAAACAAUCCUAUUUUCAAAAAUGAUAGAAAUUAUUAGUGGUGUCAUGGACAUUGGAAGCUUUCUUUUUUUUUAUUUCUUUAUCUUUUCAACCCUCCAAAAAUAAUGCUGCUAUUCCACCUACUUGAACUCGAAAUAUUUUCCAAGUGCAAUAUUUGAGGAGGGGAUCUAAUUAUCAUCCAUCUGGAACCUUUUCGUCAAAAUUGACAAUGUAAAAUGAUCCCUUUUUUUUUGAAAAAUGACAAAAAUUAUAAUCCAUGUCAUUUGCAGCUUGUUCUGAUGCAAAGUUGGCAUUUUUUUUUGGUGCAAUAUUUGAGGAGGGUGCCUACCAUUAGACUCAAAAUCUAUUAGCUAAAGUCGCAAAUCUAAAACAAUCUCGAUUUCCUAUAAAAUGAUAGAGAUCUAAAACAAAAGAUUAUUUUUUUAAUUCUUUUUCCCUUUUUUAACUCCUCAAGAAUAAUACCAGUACUACCACCUGUCUAAACCUAUUUUUUGCUUUGAAUUCAGAUCUAUUCUAAGCACAAUAAUUGAGGAGGGGAUCAAGCACCAAACCUAAAACCUAUCAACCAAACUCACCAAUUAAAAAUGAUCUCUUUUCCAAAAAAUGAUAAAAGUCAUAAUCCUCAAUUGAAAUUUUCCUCCUUUUUCUUGUUGAUAAUUGAAUCAUGUAUAUCUGACCAACCACCAAACCCAAAACCUAUUAGUCAACCUCACCAAUUCAAAUGGUCUUUUUUCCAAAAAAUGACAAGAGUCAUAAUCUUGCAUGGAAACUUUCCCUCCUUUUUUCUAUCGGUAAUCGAAUCAUUUAUAUCUGAAGAUACGGUGCAUUUCAACCUUAGAUUUUGUAUUAUAUGCUCUUUUAAUUUUUUUGAUCGAUUAUAGCAAUGUGAUGUCAAUCUUAAACCCUUAACCCUAUCCUGUUGGCUCGUAAAUGCGACAGAUGCAUCAUGCGUAAUUUAUUCUUGUCGUAUUAUGUUUACUACUUAGCAGAAUUGAUCAGACAUGCACAGUCCCUCCUUAAGUAGUUUUUGUUGUGUUAUGUUAAAAACUUAACAAAAAUAAUUUUUUCUAAAAAUGAAUUUAUGAGAUGAUUUAUUUUAAUUUUUAACAAUUUUUUGCCAAUUAAUUCUAUUAAUAUAUUUAUAUGGGAAUAUUUUUAAUACAAUAAUGUAAUGUUUGGAGUUUUGCAGCCUUCUUUCAUUGCACAAUAGGUCCUUGUGGUUAAGACAAAUAGAAUCUCUCCUUUUCAAAGCAAUUUUAUUCCUUUUCUUUCAUGUAAUAACCUUCAUUUUCAUCUAUUUGAUUUUAUUUUAUUAUAUAUUUUCGUAUAAGCAAUAGAUUUUAAGGUAAGUCCCUUAGUUGGAUUGCGCAAAACUCUGAGGCCCUUGAUUUAUUUUUCCUUUCCAAAUGUAGAGGGAGAGAUGGGAUAGAGAAAGAGAUAUUGCCCGAGAUUUCCGCAAGAUAUGCUCCCUAAAGUAUUUGUUCCCCCUGUGUUUGUCUUAUUAUUCAGCGUCAGAGCCCCUUUUUCUCUCUAAGCGUAGAGUUAAACAUUGUAUACUGACAACUUGUAACCACCCCCUGGCCUUCCUUAGAACACAAUGAAGACUUUAAACCAAUAAGGAAAAAAUAAGAUAUGUUGUCUUGAUUUUUAUCUCAUUUUAUCUUUCCAAAAUUUGUUUUGAUUUUUAUGUAAUAAUGCAUGAGAGUGUAUAUCCAAAGAAAAGGUGGCAGUGUAUGAGGUGUGCAAGGUGAUAAUGCAUGCACUUGGCCUCGUGCGACUGUCCGCGGGCCUCCGCUUGGCACGGCAUUUUCUAUUUUAGGUGGGGAUUAGAGUCUAUAUAAGCCAAAGGAGUGAGGGGUGCAUGUCGAUCAUCUGAGGUUGAGUUCUUGGUAGGGUUCUGAUCCGGAAGGCUUGAGAGGUUCGCAACUUUGUUGCUAUGGAGUUUCAGGGAAAGUGGGUGAGUUCUUCUGUUGUUUUCUUCUCCUUGUCGCAGAGGCACACAUAGAGACACAUAUACAGAGAGAGAGGUAGGGAGGGAGAGAAAGCAAGCUCUCCUGUUCCUUUCUUCUCCUUGUUGCACGGGCACACACACAGCAUGCAGAGAGAGAGAGAGAUAAGAGAAAGCAAGCUCUCCUGUUCCUUUCUUCUCCUUGUUGCACAGGCACACACACAGCAUGCAGAGAGAGAGAGAUUAUCUCUCUCUCUCUCUUUCUCGGAAAGAGUCUUUCUUCUUCAGUCCACACUGUGUUAAUUUUGGUUUAUCUACGUCUGUUCUCCCUCGAUCUCUUCUGAUGACAGAGAUGGAGAGAUGGAAUAAUCUUUCUUCUAAAAGCUCUCUCAUCUCUCUCUACUCUCUCUCUCUCUCUCUUUCUCAAAGAGUCUUUCUUCUUCAGUCCACACUGCGUUAAUUUUGGUUUAUCUGCGUCCGUUCUCUCCCUCGGUCUCUUCUGAUGACAGAGAUGGAAGGAUGCCAUAAUCUUUCUUCUAACAGCUCUCUCACCUCUCUCUCUCUCCCUUCCCCG